rnacentral:rRNA from 1 species
UAGGGAAUCUUCCGCAAUGGACGAAAGUCUGACGGAGCAACGCUGCGUGAGUGAUGAAGGUUUUCGGAUCGUAAAACUCUGUUGUCAGGGAAGAACAAGAACCUGAGUAACUGCCGGUACUUUGACGGUACCUGACCAGAAAGCCACGGCUAACUACGUGCCAGCAGCCGCGGUAAUACGUAGGUGGCAAGCGUUGUCCGGAAUUAUUGGGCGUAAAGCGCUCGCAGGCGGUUCCAUAAGUCUGAUGUGAAAGCCCCCGGCUCAACCUGGGAGGGUCAUUGGAAACUGAGGAACUUGAGUGCAGAAGAGAAGAGUGGUAUUCCACGUGUAGCGAUGAAAUGCGUAGAGAUGUGGAGGAACACCAGUGGCGAAGGCGACUCUUUGGUCUGUAGCUGACGCUGGGGCGCGAAAGCGUGGGGAGCAAACAGG